GAUGAACGCUGGCGGCGUGCCUAAUACAUGCGAGUCGAGCGAACGGACGAGAAGCUUGCUUCUCUGAUGUUAGCGGCGGACGGGUGAGUAACACGUGGAUAACCUACCUAUAAGACUGGGAUAACUUCGGGAAACCGGAGCUAAUACCGGAUAAUAUUUUGAACCGCAUGGUUCAAAAGUGAAGGACGGUCUUGCUGUCACUUAUAGAUGGAUCCGCGCUGCAUUAGCUAGUUGGUAAGGUAACGGCUUACCAAGGCAACGAUGCAUAGCCGACCUGAGAGGGUGAUCGGCCACACUGGAACUGAGACACGGUCCAGACUCCUACGGGAGGCAGCAGUAGGGAAUCUUCCGCAAUGGGCGAAAGCCUGACGGAGCAACGCCGCGUGAGUGAUGAAGGUCUUCGGAUCGUAAAACUCUGUUAUUAGGGAAGAACAUAUGUGUAAGUAACUGUGCACAUCUUGACGGUACCUAAUCAGAAAGCCACGGCUAACUACGUG
rnacentral:rRNA from 1 species